rnacentral:rRNA from 1 species
UGGGGAAUAUUGCGCAAUUGGCGAAAGCCUGACGCAGCGACGCCGCGUGAGGGAUGAAGGUUUUCGGAACGUAAACCUCUGUCAGAAGGGAAGAAACCGCACUGUGCUAAUCAGCAGUGCCUUGACGGUACCUUCAAAGGAAGCACCGGCUAACUCCGUGCCAGCAGCCGCGGUAAUACGGAGGGUGCAAGCGUUAAUCGGAAUUACUGGGCGUAAAGCGCACGUAGGCUGCUUUGUAAGUCAGGGGUGAAAUCCCACGGCUCAACCGUGGAACUGCCUUUGAUACUGCUUAGCUUGAAUCCGGGAGAGGGUGGCGGAAUUCCAGGUGUAGGAGUGAAAUCCGUAGAUAUCUGGAGGAUCAUCAGUGGCGAAGGCGGCCACCUGGACCGGUAUUGACGCUGAGGUGCGAAAGCGUGGGGAGCAAACAGG